UGGGGAAUAUUGCACAAUGGAGGGAACUCUGAUGCAGCGACGCCGCGUGAGUGAUGAAGGAAUUCGUUUCGUAAAACUCUGUUCUAUGGGAAGAAAAGGACUGUACCAUAGGAGAAAGCUCCGGCUAAAUACGUGCCAGCAGCCGCGGUAAUACGUAUGGAGCGAGCGUUGUCCGGAAUUAUUGGGCGUAAAGGGUGCGCAGGCGGCUUUACAAGUUGGAUGUGAAAUAUUGUGGCUCAACCACAAACGUGCAUCCAAAACUGCAAAGCUUGAGUUAAGGAGAGGUAAGUGGAAUUCCUGGUGUAGCGGUGGAAUGCGUAGAUAUCAGGAGGAAUACCGGUGGCGAAGGCGACUUACUGGACUUAAACUGACGCUCAGGCACGAGAGCGUGGGGAGCAAACAGG
rnacentral:rRNA from 1 species